rnacentral:rRNA from 1 species
AUGUCCGGCAGCUUCGUGUUCCUCCCCAGCCGGGCGGUGGCGCACAUGAUGCGACGAUGGAAUUACCAGGAAGGCUCGGGUCUCGGCGCGCAGGGGCAAGGGAUCGUCGUGCCUAUACAAGCCGUCGUGCGGGUGCGGCGGCGUCCAAAGGCCGGCCUCGGCUACCGUGAGAAACCAUACGACAAUGGUCUCCACGUGCCGCUGGAGCCGCCCGUGGAGGAGGAGUGCCGUGAGUGGGAGAAUAUUGCACGUGCUAUGCGGCUCGAAACGGAGUGCUGCGAGACCAUCCUCGCGCUCCUGCAUGACAUGAGGCUUCAAGGGGACGACAGCGUGGAGACGACGGAUGCGCUCAAGGCCGUGGCCGAGUCCAAGAAGGGGCUCCAUGGGAAGCGCAUGCUGGGGACGUGGAAAGCCAGGCUGCCUUCUUCCGCCGCGCGCUACAUAAUCGAGCAGGUGAUCACGCCGAGGAUGGUCGUCGACGUGCGAGAGUGGAAGCCAUCAUGGGAUCCGGACUGUCACAACUGGCUACGCCCGUUCAUUCCCCUCAUCGGCCACUUACCAGAGAGCCUCUACGGUACCGUGGAGAGCAAGAUCAGGAACGGCGACUACGAGGUCGUGUCGCCAUGGAAGGAAUACCUUAGCCCGGUGCAGUGGGACACCUUCAGCAAGCGUCACAUCCUGCCAAUGCUAACACGGUUAGUACGGGAGAUGAAGAUCACGCCGCCGAAGCAAAACCGACCCUUCGUUCCGGAUGGUGAUGUUGUGGGCACCUCUCCUGCGCGCUCAAGACGUGGUGUCGAUCCUAGAAGCCGAACAGUUCUUUGA